rnacentral:tRNA from 1 species
GGGGUUGUAGCUCAGAGGUAGAGCGCUUGCCUUGCACGCCUGAGGCCCUGGGUUUGGUCCCCAACACCA